rnacentral:tRNA from 1 species
UCCUGGGUAGCUCAAGUGGUAAAGAAUCUGCCUGCAGUGCAGGAGCCCUAGGUUCGAUCCCUGGGUCAGGAA